AACGAACGCUGGCGGCAUGCCUAACACAUGCAAGUCGAACGAGACCUUCGGGUCUAGUGGCGCACGGGUGCGUAACGCGUGCGAACCUGCCCUUAGGUUCGGAAUAACUCCCCGAAAGGGGUGCUAAUACCGGAUAAUGUCUUCGGACCAAAGAUUUAUCGCCUUUGGAUGGGCCCGCGUUGGAUUAGCUAGUUGGUAGGGUAAAAGCCUACCAAGGCGACGAUCCAUAGCUGGUCUGAGAGGAUGAUCAGCCACACUGGGACUGAGACACGGCCCAGACUCCUACGGGAGGCAGCAGUGGGGAAUAUUGGACAAUGGGCGAAAGCCUGAUCCAGCAAUGCCGCGUGAGUGAUGAAGGCCUUAGGGUUGUAAAGCUCUUUUACCCGGGAUGAUAAUGACAGUACCGGGAGAAUAAGCUCCGGCUAACUCCGUG
rnacentral:rRNA from 1 species